rnacentral:lncRNA from 1 species
AUGGAAGUGCCUGAUGCCUUCAGCGAAGCAAGCAGGAAAGGCUCAAGUGAUCCUCCUGUUUCACCCUGUCCCUAUCCGAAUGACCUGGCGGGAGUCAUUAUUGAUCGACCCACCGAUGACAGUCCACCCACUAAUGAAUUGACAACAGCAAACCCAGAGGCACGUAUCAAUGAAAGUCCCUAUCCGAAUGACCUGGCGGGAGUCAUUAUUGAUCGACCCACCGAUGACAGUCCACCCACUAAUGAAUUGACAACAGCAAACCCAGAGGCACGUAUCAAUGAAAGUCCCCAUCCUGAUGACCUGGUGGAAGUCGUCAUCGAUACAGACACCGACGACAUGUGAGUUAUAAAGGAUGUUCACACUAACAUAGAGAUACAAACAAAACAGUGACAGAG